AAGUCAGGAUUUGUAUCAGGCAAAAAUCUCCGGGGAUUCGAGUGCAUUAGGAUGGAAAGGAAGCCUGCCCCUUCUGAACAGAAAUACAAGGCGAAAUGGACAUAGCGGUGAGAGGAUUACAGCACAGAUAUCUGGUCAGGACAGCAUAAAAGAAGAGGAUAGAAACAUCCGAAGUCUGAGGUAGCAGCCGCCUUCCUGAAAUCACGACGGAGAGUGUGUGUAGGUGGGC